rnacentral:rRNA from 1 species
CACCGCGGUUAUACGAGAGGCCCUAGUUGAUGGACACGGCGUAAAGGGUGGCUAAGGUACAACUAAAAUAAAGCUAAAGGACUUCUUGGCUGUCAUACGCCCCUGAAAACCCGAAAUCCAAAUACGAAAGUAGCUUUAACACAAGCCCACCUGACCCCACGAAAGCUGAGGGA